GGGGAUUUAGCUCAGCGGCAUAAGCGCCUGCCUUGCAAGCAUGCGGUCAUGAGUUCAAUCCCCG
rfam:Cavia porcellus supercont2_115 genomic scaffold, whole genome shotgun sequence.